rnacentral:rRNA from 1 species
CAGUAGCCACGGUAACACAGAGGGUGCAAGCGUUAAUCGGAAUUACUGGGCGUAAAGCGCGCGUAGGUGGUUUGUUAAGUUGGAUGUGAAAGCCCCGGGCUCAACCUGGGAACUGCAUCCAAAACUGGCAAGCUAGAGUACGGUAGAGGGUGGUGGAAUUUCCUGUGUAGCGGUGAAAUGCGUAGAUAUAGGAAGGAACACCAGUGGCGAAGGCGACCACCUGGACUGAUACUGACACUGAGGUGCGAAAGCGUGGGGAGCAAACAGGAUUAGAUACCCCUGUAGUCCCUGUCUCUUAUAC